GCCUGAGUGGCUCAGUCGGUUAAGCGUCUGACUUCAGCUCAGGUCAUGAUCUCACGGUUCACGAGUUCGAACCCUGUGACAGGCU
rnacentral:tRNA from 1 species